CCAUGCAUAUCUCAUACCUCUAUGGCUACCACCCUGGAACAAGCCACCCUGUUCAUCUUAUGUGGUCAUCUGACCCCUGUACCAUCUACCGCAGAGGGUAACUUCCUGACCCUGGAGAAACUUUCUCUAUAGGCUGCACUGUUGAAACCUGCGAUUCAUUUUCACCCGAGUGCCAUCGGUCUGCCUUGGUAACCUACAAACAGCCUGCCCCACUGAGGUUAACCGCUCUCGAUAACUGGGACCAGUCUUUACACGGGACUGCAUGAGCUCUGAAAAACAUAGCUGUGAAAUUAGAAUACUUUACUCAGCGGCCUGUCAGGAAUCCAGGGGCAAUGUCCAGAGGCCACGGAGGGCAACUCACAAAGCAGCCUUCAGAGGAG
rnacentral:lncRNA from 1 species